AUCGUACGUACCGUAGUUUACGUUCAACGGAAGCACAUUGCACAACAGCUAGGCUGAAAUAAAAAUGGCUGGCAUACACCUAGAUGAAGAACAACCAUGGAAAAAAAACACCAAAAGUGAUGAAACGCCGGACAAAACAAGUAAGACAAGACCGACACUGUUACCAAUGUGGUGGGAGCGGUCACGUUGCGAAUAACGAAGAGUGUCCUGCGCAAGGUCAUGAACGUAGAAAGUGCCACCACAUGAACCACUUCACCACUUCUCGUUACGCACGUGUUACAGAGUCUGCAAAUUGUGUUGAAUCAAAGAAAAAAGAGAGUGAAGAUGAAGUCGGAGGGAGUUGACUUGACCACGACAACCAACGCAAGAGACAUAACAAGGAAACCAAGCGCUGCUCAGCCAUCGAGACAGAUUCAGCGGAGAAACAAAGCCAAGACUAAAAAGAAAGGACUCUCAGUAAAGGCACUCAGAAGUACGGAAGUGGUGGAAGAACCAUGCAUGGACGGACCGCGGAGAAAAGUGAGAAAUCCUCACCAGCCAAACAAGGAGGAAGAAGAUGGCAGGGGCAGCUGGACUCGUGUAGACACUACAAAUGGUUAUAUUAGUAGUAAAACUGGGUCUCUUGACGACCUUAAAAAACAUUUCGAUUCCAGCGUAGAUACAAAAUAUUCUAAUAAUGAUGCACUUGAUUUUAAUAUAGAUGAGUUUGAUCAUCGAUGUAAACUAUAUAUUCAUUUAAAACAAUUCUGUAAAAAAAUAUAUCAAUUGUCUGUUGAAAAAAAACUGUAUAGGCAGACAGCAUAUGCCCAUUUAAUUAUGAAAGGUAACAAAACUAAAACAAUAGGUCCAAAGCACCCGAAACAAAACAAACAUAGUGAGGACUUUAUAAUUGAUGAAAUGAGGAAGUAUGCCAAGGACAUAUCUAUAAUUUUACUUUUUACCACCAACAGUCCUUGUUUAGCGCGAGAAGGUCGUAAACCUUGUGCACGCAACUUAACAGACUUUUCAAAAAAGCAUCAGGUUCCAAUGAAAACUUUCUUCAUAAAACCUUAUUACUUUAUCAAAAACAUCGAUUACUUGAAUAAUCAACAUGUAGGAAAGCCUUCUUGGGAUCCUCACUAUGAGUAUAAUCUAGAAUACAAUCUUUCAGAAUUCAAAUAUAAAUGUAAAGAAAUUCCCGAAGAUCAAAUGGAAAAAGUCUGUAAUAUUAUAAGGAACAUUCUUUCGAAAUAUUCAGAGUUAGCACAGACGUAUAACAAGUGGAAACAAACAGGAACAGAAACCUCAGCAGAGCUCGAGUCGUCACUGAGAGAGGAAAUGAUAGGAGGAGCUAUCAGAUAAAGAUUUAGACACGGUUACAGAGAAGUAUAAACUCUGGUGGACUUUAACCAUAAAUGAAAGUCUCAACAAGCCUGUAGUUUUACCCACCUUAAAACACAUCGAGGACCUUUCACACCACAUGUGUGGGUUUUUCAGGAUCACAUACACUGAUAUAUCUGCUUGGAGUUAUUAAUCUUUAAACAUUAAUCUUUCACCCUGUUGUGAGUGGGAGGUUGGAGAGCCCCUUCCAUGGGGACCGGAAUUUUUAGUAUCCGGCUUGUCCAUGGUGGGGUGAAGAGACAAUUGUAACCCGCCAGGGGAGCAUGCGUCACCACUCCGCCUCCUGUAGCGGCCUCACUUCACAGCAAAUUGAGCAGAGUUAAAUUUUUGCUGUUGAUGAACAGAGAGUCAAUCUAUCUCUACGCGGAGUUGAUCUAACUCUGUAUGUUGUCUAAUCAAUUAGAUUUCACACUGUACCACGAAAGAGUUGGUGUCAAAAUGGAGCGUUAGAACAGAAAUCAACUCUGAUAGUGUCACCGCUAUGGUGGAACGCACCACUAGGAGUGACUGACCUAGAUCAGAUUGGUCGCUGAUUCGUCUGCCCUUUUGGCGGGAGUUAGGACCCUUCCCUAAACUCUAGUGGAAUGCACAGCAGGUGGAAGGAAGGAUAUUUUGUGAACGUCUUCUAGAAGACUUUUCGCAUUGUGUCGGUAACUAACAGUGUAUUAGAUAACCCAAUGCGUGCUAUUGUUAUAUACAGACGAAAUACGUAUUUAGACUUUGGUAUGAUGUUUAUAGACACUGCAAGGACGAGUAACAGUAAAGCUAGAGCCGACAAACUAACGUUACCUAAGGUUAACAUUAGCUAACGUUAUCAUUAGCUCCUAAUUAAGUGUCUGGCAAGCUAACGUUAGCUAGCGUUUGUUUUUUCUACUUUCAUAUGGGUUCUGAUUACUGGUCUAUAAGUGAUCUAAAUGGAAAUCUUUGAGUUUGCAAAGUUUGCCCAUGUCAAUUAUGUGACGUUACAUCAGUUAUGUUAACAGUCUUUUGAAUAAGAGAACAGCUAAAAUUAGCUAGCUAAUUAGCUAAAGUUAGACAAGAACCUGCCCCCACACAGCAAAAUCCUGUGUAGAUUUAACACCCAGAGUGCGUCCACAAUUGUCCUCGAGUCCACAAGAAAGAGGAGGAACCCAACAGAGUUAAUGGACGAGAAUGAAGCAAGACAGAUCAACCAGGAUUUCUCCAUGAUGUUUGGUGACGGAGUUUCUCAGAAGUUCCUGACAAAGUGGUCAACAUUCUUCAAGCCAAAAGUCAUUGCAGACUGCAAGACUCUUAAUAUGGGCGAGCUGCUGUCAGGAACUGAACCUGAAUCUGAGGACUACGACGGAUGGGACAGCGACAUGUCAUCAAUCCUUUUGCUGCUGCAUCUGCUCCCUCCAACCUCAAGAGGCCAGAAAAAAACAUCCAAGAUCAGUUCAGCUCAAGCAACCAGCCAUCUUGUGAGAUAUCUUAAGGAUAUUCGGAGGUGAACUGACCAUCUGACGAGACAACUGGACAUCCAGAUAAUCGAUGAGGAAAUUCUUCUUACUCACAGCUCCUAUGUGGACAUUUCCUAAGUUUAAUGCCUUAACCAAUCAGAAUCAUUAACACCACAGCGAAAAAUAAAUAAAUAAACAAACUGUCUCGUUUUCUUCUCUUCUCUGCUGGACAACUG
ensembl:lncRNA